GCCUUAACACUUGUUGGACUAUAGUUUAAAAAACGCCUUUUAUGGUGUCUGACGAAGUCGACAUGAAUCCAGUAAUUUGCGUCUUAUGCGUUUUGUUUUUUUAUCUACGAAAUUAAGUUGUUCCAUUACAUGGUAUGAUAGCUGAUACUUUGGUCUAUCAAAAUAUAUAUUUAAAAUAUUGUUGAUUGUUUAAUUCUAACAUUAGAUGAUUCAAAUAUGUAAUAAAAAACUCGAACUUAUAUUUAUUUUGUUUUAUAGUACUAUUAAAUGCUUCAGGGUUAACCCUAUUACAGUGGCUGAGUCACUGGCUUACUGGUGCUUUUCUAUGCCGUGCCUAGGAGGGGUGCGUCACUUGAGUGGGUUGAGUCACUGACGUGAUCUUCCUGUCUGGGUUGGCGCCUCCGCCUUGGGUUGUGCCGUGGCGGAGAUCUUUGUGGGCUAUACUCGGCCUUGUCUCAGGAUGGACCUGAGCCCUAGGACCAUGCCUCAUGACUACCUGGCAUGAUGACUCCUUGCUGUCCUCAGUCCACCUGGCCGUGCUGCUGCUCCAGUUUCAACUGUUCUGCCUGCGGCUAUGGAACCGUGACCUGUUCACUGGACGUGCUACCUGUCCCAGACCUUCUGUUUUCAACUCUCUAGAGACAGCAGGAGCGGUAGAGAUACUCUUAAUGAUCAGCUAUGAAAAGCCAACUGACAUUUACUCCUGAGGUGCUGACUUGUUGCACCCUCAACAACUACUGUGAUUAUUAUUAUUUGACCAUGCUGGUCAUUUAUGAACAUUUGAACAUCUUGGCCAUGUUCUGUUAUAAUCUCCACCCGGCACAGCCAGAAGAGGACUGCCCCCCCCCCAUAGCCUGGUUCCUCUCUAGGUUUCUUCCUAGGUUUUGGCCUUUCUAGGGAGUUUUUCCUAGCCACCGUGCUUCUACACCUGCAUUGCUUGCUGUUUGGGGUUUUAGGCUGUGUUUCUGUACAGCACUUUGAGAUAUCAGCUGAUGUAAGAAGGGCUAUAUAAAUACAUUUGAUUUGA